UGGGGAAUUUUGGACAAUGGGCGAAAGCCUGAUCCAGCAAUGCCGCGUGUGUGAAGAAGGCCUUCGGGUUGUAAAGCACUUUUGUCCGGAAAGAAAUCCUUGGCUCUAAUACAGUCGGGGGAUGACGGUACCGGAAGAAUAAGCACCGGCUAACUACGUGCCAGCAGCCGCGGUAAUACGUAGGGUGCAAGCGUUAAUCGGAAUUACUGGGCGUAAAGCGUGCGCAGGCGGUUUGCUAAGACCGAUGUGAAAUCCCCGGGCUCAACCUGGGAACUGCAUUGGUGACUGGCAGGCUAGAGUAUGGCAGAGGGGGGUAGAAUUCCACGUGUAGCAGUGAAAUGCGUAGAGAUGUGGAGGAAUACCGAUGGCGAAGGCAGCCCCCUGGGCCAAUACUGACGCUCAUGCACGAAAGCGUGGGGAGCAAAACAGGAUUAGAUACCCUGGUAGUCCACGCCCUAAACGAUGUCAACUAGUUGUUGGGGGAUUCAUUUCCUUAGUAACGUAGCUAACGCGUGAAGUUGACCGCCUGGGGAGUACGGUCGCAAGAUUAAAACUUAAAUGAAUUGACGGGGUCAUAGCUGUUUCCU
rnacentral:rRNA from 1 species